AGUGAAAGAGAAUUGAUCAUGGAAUAUUAUCAUGCAAUGUAAUUAUUUGUUUAUUAGUCAAUUUGGAAGUUCAUUUUGAUAUGGGGGUAUGUUGUAAUAUUACUUCUAGCUUGAAGUUAAUCAUUUUUGUGGCAAGUUAGGAUCUCUUUAUAAGAAAUUGUUUAAGAUUUAAGCUAUAAAAGAUUUUUAUGCUACCUAAUACUCUUCGAGGUUUGAACAUGUUUGGGGAGUAUGAAUGAAACUCUUAUGUUGAAGAAAAAUAUAUUGUGAGUUAUUGCAAAUAGGUAUAUUUUCUUAUUUAAGAAUUGAUUUUAUUGUAUUCAUCUUGGUGGAAUUAUUAAUAAUUUAAAUUAUCGUCUUUGGAUCCAAAUAAUAGAUUUUAUUCAUGUUUAUCAGGGACUGUAUGAUGUAUAUGGAAUUUCAAUUCAAAGUUUGGAAUUAUAAGUUAAUCUAGGAUCUUUUGUCAAUAUUGUUGAGGUUAUUCUUGAAACCUAAAUUUGCAUGAAAAAUUUAAAUUUUAGAGACUUAGAUGGUUAUGACGGAAGAUCUUUGAGGUUUGACUCAUUUGUGUUGAAUUAAAGUCUUGUAAUUUGGUGGAGCAUUAAAAAAAAAAUAAAUCUAGUUAUAAGAAUUUGACUUGGAAUUGUCCAGUUGAAUUGAUAAGAGAAUUAAGAUUCAAUACAUUUUGGGAAUUACAGUAACGAGCCCAUAUGAUGAUUUUGAAUGGAACAAUUGACUUGAGAGUUAAUCUGUAUUAGAUGUAUUCAAGAAUCAAAUAUUCUUUCUUUUAGGCUUUACUUGGAAAUUGAAGAUAUGGAUCUCUUUAGUUCAUAAUACAAGUAGUAUUUUGAUCAAAAGUUAUUAGUGAAUCCAAAGAUUUUAGUGUUUUGAAUCAGAGUGCGCAGCGGAAACGUGGUAGAAUGUUAGAUAAAUGACUAAGUAACUUCAUUUGUUUAAGAAUUAAGGAAUGUAAAUUUUGAGGACGAAAUUAUUUUAAGGAGGGAAGAAUGUGAAAACCAGCCCACAUACAGUGGGCUAAUGGGCCAAGCCCAACAUGGUCGGCCGAUUUGGAGAUUUAAACUAAGGAAGCUUCGGGAAGAAGGAGAAGCCAGGCGGUUAUAACCACCCUGAUACUCCCGAUCUCCCUUUCCUCUCUUCCCGAAGAGGGCUAUAAAAGCCAUGGAUUUCUCCUCACCAAGGGACUCCAUUGCUUAUCUUUCAUCUACCUUUCACUCCCUUCUCCGUUACGAAGGAAUCGGAUCGGGAACGACGCCGUCGGAGUAGGAGGCCGAGCCAUCGGGGGAAGCUACCGAAAGAAGCUCCCCAUCUCCUCGUUGGCGCUAGGUAUUGAAGAAUUGGCAUUUGGUGAGCAAAUUAAGAUGAAUAGGAGAUGCUAGGAACAAGGAGCGUGACAUGCCUCAGGGUUAUGGGAAUAAUAAAAUAUUAAAUGAUGAUAUUGUUUCUAGAAGCUAUGUACGGAUUUUAAUACCUGAACAUAGUUGUUUAGUAAUUGAAGUUUUAAAGAGGCUGCGUAUUAUUGUAUUUUUAACUUGGCAAUAGCACGGCCGUGUCAUGAUCCGAAUUCGGGGCGUGACAUUAAGUGGUAUCAGAGCAAUAAUUUUAACCAUGAUUAAAAACUUUAAGACUAAUCAUGGGAAUGGGUAGUUAAGUUAGCUUUUACAUAAUUGGAAUAACAAUAAUAAUAUUAAAAAAAAAUAAUAAGAAAAAAAUAAUAAAAUAUUAAUUUUGGGUUAUAUUGUUUUAGGUGACAAUGCGCAAUAAAAAGAAGAAAUGUAGAGCUAAUACAAGCCAUUCUAGAAACGUGAUUGUGACAGAAAAACUAUCAAAGCCUAGGUUAAGAUCAUUGUGAAUUGUGAUUUGAAAACUACCGGAGCUGAGGUUAAGAUCGCAUAGGAUUGUGACAAAAUUAGAAUCAAAGAAUAAUUUUAAGAUCACUAGGGUUUGCAACAGAAAUGUAUCAUAGCUUAAGGUUAUGAUCACUUGGGAUAUGACAAAAGUAGUAAAAAUUACAUUUAGUGCUUAAGUGAAAGAUCACUAAGCAUUUUAAGUACCGGGUUUGGUAUUCGAUGAGUACGAAAGUACUGGAUAAGAUGUUUUGAUCAUGAUGAGAGAUGUUUUACCUAAGAUAAGUGUAGGAAGGUUAACUAUGACAUAGCGGUUAUACUAUGUUCGGAUAUUGUAUAAAUGACUCGAAAGUGUAAAAUUAAUAUAAAUUUGGAUAUGAUUAUUAGAGUGUGAUUUGUACAUAGAUUGGUCAUAGAAUUGGAAUGAGUCAAGAAGGAUUUUAUUUUAUAUAGUAUUAUAAAGGAUUGUUCUUCAAGGUUAAAUCUGUAUGUGGAUUAUAAUUGGUUUUGGCAUACUUGGAUAUUGCAAAUAGUUGUAUUCUAUUGGUGGAUUAAAUUCUUAAGUGCAUAUUGAUUGGGGAAUUCUAGUUAUUUGAAUUUCCAUGUUGGAUUGGGCUAUUAGAUCUUUUUCAUAAUUAUUGGACACUUUUGGAUGUGUUAGUUUAAUCUCAAGUUUAAGUUUAUGAUUUGACAAGGGAUCUUUAUUAUUGAGUGGAGACUUUAAUUUUGGAGAUACUUAUUGAAAUUGAAAUGCUUGCUAACUGGGCUCGUAGCCAAAGUGUGGAUCAGCUAUGUUGGGAGUCCUCUCAGUGGAUAUUUCAGAUUAUGAUUAAUUGGAUUUUGACCAAAAUUUAGUGAAAGAGAAUUGAUCAUGGAAUAUUAUCAUGCAAUGUAAUUAUUUGUUUAUUAGUCAAUUUGGAAGUUCAUUUUGAUAUGGGGGUAUGUUGUAAUAUUACUUCUAGCUUGAAGUUAAUCAUUUUUGUGGCAAGUUAGGAUCUCUUUAUAAGAAAUUGUUUAAGAUUUAAGCUAUAAAAGAUUUUUAUGCUACCUAAUACUCUUCGAGGUUUGAACAUGUUUGGGGAGUAUGAAUGAAACUCUUAUGUUGAAGAAAAAUAUAUUGUGAGUUAUUGCAAAUAGGUAUAUUUUCUUAUUUAAGAAUUGAUUUUAUUGUAUUCAUCUUGGUGGAAUUAUUAAUAAUUUAAAUUAUCGUCUUUGGAUCCAAACAAUAGAUUUUAUUCAUGUUUAUCAGGGACUGUAUGUUGUAUAUGGAAUUUCAAUUCAAAGUUUGGAAUUAUAAGUUAAUCUAGGAUCUUUUGUCAAUAUUGUUGAGGUUAUUCUUGAAACCUAAAUUUGCAUGAAAAAUUUAAAUUUUAGAGACUUAGAUGGUUAUGACGGAAGAUCUUUGAGGUUUGACUCAUUUGUGUUGAAUUAAAGUCUUGUAAUUUGGUGGAGCAUUAAAAAAAAAAAAAAUCUAGUUAUAAGAAUUUGACUUGGAAUUGUCCAGUUGAAUUGAUAAGAGAAUUAAGAUUCAAUACAUUUUGGGAAUUACAGUAACGAGCCCAUAUGAUGAUUUUGAAUGGAACAAUUGACUUGAGAGUUAAUCUGUAUUAGAUGUAUUCAAGAAUCAAAUAUUCUUUCUUUUAGGCUUUACUAGGAAAUUGAAGAUAUGGAUCUCUUUAGUUCAUAAUACAAGUAGUAUUUUGAUCAAAAGUUAUUAGUGAAUCCAAAGAUUUUAGUGUUUUGAAUCAGAGUGCGCAGCGGAAACGUGGUAGAAUGUUAGAUAAAUGACUAAGUAACUUCAUUUGUUUAAGAAUUAAGGAAUGUAAAUUUCGAGGACGAAAUUAUUUUAAGGAGGAAAGAAUGUGAAAACCAGCCCACAUACAGUGGGCUAAUGGGCCAAGCCCAACAUGGUCGGCCCAUUUGGAGAUCUAAACUAAGGAAGCUUCGGGAAGAAGGAGAAGCCAGGCGGUUAUAACCACCCUGAUACUCCCGAUCUCCCUUUCCUCUCUUCCCGAAGAGGGCUAUAAAAGCCAUGGAUUUCUCCUCACCAAGGGACUCCAUUGCUUAUCUUUCAUCUACCUUUCACUCCCUUCUCCGUUACGAAGGAAUCGGAUCGGGAACGACGCCGUCGGAGUAGGAGGCCGAGCCAUCGGGGGAAGCUACCGGAAGAAGCUCCCCAUCUCCUCGUUGGCGCUAGGUAAGCCCUUAAUCAUUUUAUUAAUGCCCUGUUAGAUUAGAUCUAGCCUAGCUAUGAAACAAAAAUAGGAAAAAGAAGAAGAAGAAGAGGAAAGGAAGGGGGAAGAGUUUACCUGGUAUGUUCAACUGCAGCUGUCGACGGCCGGAGGCCCUUCCUCCCCUCCUUUGGUCGUGGUGAGCUUGGCCGCAGCCGUAGCCACAUCCAUGACCAUGGUCGUGGGUUAUUUUCCCUACCCCAAUGGGAACGAGGGAGGAGCCGCCGGCUCCGACUGCAAGCUCCGUCGGCCCUUGGUCGGAGCUGCAGCGAGCCGAAGGUCCUUUCCUCUUGAGUGCGUGAUCUCGACACCCCAUUUCCACCAAGGAACAGAGGGGGGCCGGCCGCCGUGGGCGCGGCCACGGGUUCGGCCGCGGGCACCGUCGGUCGCGGUCGACCUCUUCCGUGAGGGGGAGCCGCCCUUCUCCCUUCUCAAGAGAAGAAGGAUGAUGAAGAAGGGGGGGAUCGGCCGCUACAGGCCGAGCAGCGGGCGAUGUUGGCCGGUCGCCGGCACCAUCGACCUUGGACCCGGCUCCUCCCGAGCGCUCCACGAGCCUCCUCGCUUCAAGUGAGGAGGAGAAGAGGAGGGGGAGGGGAUCGGGACGGAAAGAAGAAGAAAGGAGGAAAAGAAGGUUCGGGAAGGGAGGAGAGGAAAGAAAAGAAAAAGAGGAAAGAAAAGAAAAAGAAGAAAGAAAAGAAAAAGAAAAGAAAAGAAAAAGAAGAAAAGAAGGAAAGGGAAAAAGAAAAAUAAAAUGAAGAGUUCGAUGGGCCGAAAUGGGCCUAAUUCCGGGGCAGGCUUCAAAGAGAUUUGGAUUUAGAAGCCUGAAGCCGGGCUGGGCCCUGGUCCGAGCUAAAUAAUUUUUAACCCAGAAUUAACUGAACCAGUAUGCAAUGGACCCAAACCUGAACCAGAAAUUAGCUUAGACCAGAACUAGAAAUUGAAUUGGGCCAUAGGCCUGAACCAGAAAUUAAAUUAGGUUAUGAACCCGAAAAUGAAAUUGAGUCCUAAGGAUGGGCUGUAAAUGACUUUAAGAUUAUUAAUAAAUAGAAAUUAAAUGUUCAAGUGACAUGUAAUUUAAUGAUCUUGUUAGGUAUUGAAGAAUUGGCAUUUGGUGAGCAAAUUAAGAUGAAUAGGAGAUGCUAGGAACAAGGAGCGUGACAUGCCUCAGGGUUAUGGGAAUAAUAAAAUAUUAAAUGAUGAUAUUGUUUCUAGAAGCUAUGUACGGAUUUUAAUACCUGAACAUAGUUGUUUAGUAAUUGAAGUUUUAAAGAGGCUGCGUGUUAUUGUAUGCUUAACUUGGCAAUAGCACGCCGUGUCAUGAUCCGAAUUCGGGGCGUGACAUUAAGUGGUAUCAGAGCAAUAAUUUUAACCAUGAUUAAAAACUUUAAGACUAAUCAUGGGAAUGGGUAGUUAAGUUAGCUUUUACAUAAUUGGAAUAACAAUAAUAAUAUUAAAAAAAAUAAUAAGAAAAAAUAAUAAAAUAUUAAUUUUGGGUUAUAUUGUUUUAGGUGACAAUGCGCAAUAAAAAGAAGAAAUGUAGAGCUAAUACAAGCCAUUCUAGAAACGUGAUUGUGACAGAAAAACUAUCAAAGCCUAGGUUAAGAUCAUUGUGAAUUGUGAUUUGAAAACUACCGGAGCUGAGGUUAAGAUCGCAUAGGAUUGUGACAAAAUUAGAAUCAAAGAAUAAGUUUAAGAUCACUAGGGUUUGCAACAGAAAUGUAUCAUAGCUUAAGGUUAUGAUCACUUGGGAUAUGACAAAAGUAGUAAAAAUUACAUUCAGUGCUUAAGUGAAAGAUCACUAAGCAUUUUAAGUACCGGGUUUGGUAUUCGAUGUGUACGAAAGUACUGGAUAAGAUGUUUUGAUCAUGAUGUGAGAUGUUUUACCUAAGAUAAGUGUAGGAAGGUUAACUAUGACAUAGCGGUUAUACUAUGUUCGGAUAUUGUAUAAAUGACUCGAAAGUGUAAAAUUAAUAUAAAUUUGGAUAUGAUUAUUAGAGUGUGAUUUGUACAUAGAUUGGUCAUAGAAUUGGAAUGAGUCAAGAAGGAUUUUAUUUUAUAUAGUAUUAUAAAGGAUUGUUCUUCAAGGUUAAAUCUGUAUGUGGAUUAUAAUUGGUUUUGGCAUACUUGGAUAUUGCAAAUAGUUGUAUUCUAUUGGUGGAUUAAAUUCUUAAGUGCAUAUUGAUUGGGGAAUUCUAGUUAUUUGAAUUUCCAUGUUGGAUUGGGCUAUUAGAUCUUUUUCAUAAUUAUUGGACACUUUUGGAUGUGUUAGUUUAAUCUCAAGUUUAAGUUUAUGAUUUGACAAGGGAUCUUUAUUAUUGAGUGGAGACUUUGAUUUUGGAGAUACUUAUUGAAAUUGAAAUGCUUGCUAACUGGGCUCGUAGCCAAAGUGUGGAUCAGCUAUGUUGGGAGUCCUCUCAGUGGAUAUUUCAGAUUAUGAUUAAUUGGAUUUUGACCAAAAUUUAGUGAAAGAGAAUUGAUCAUGGAAUAUUAUCAUGCAAUGUAAUUAUUUGUUUAUUAGUCAAUUUGGAAGUUCAUUUUGAUAUGGGGGUAUGUUGUAAUAUUACUUCUAGCUUGAAGUUAAUCAUUUUUGUGGCAAGUUAGGAUCUCUUUAUAAGAAAUUGUUUAAGAUUUAAGCUAUAAAAGAUUUUUAUGCUACCUAAUACUCUUCGAGGUUUGAACAUGUUUGGGGAGUAUGAAUGAAACUCUUAUGUUGAAGAAAAAUAUAUUGUGAGUUAUUGCAAAUAGGUAUAUUUUCUUAUUUAAGAAUUGAUUUUAUUGUAUUCAUCUUGGUGGAAUUAUUAAUAAUUUAAAUUAUCGUCUUUGGAUCCAAAUAAUAGAUUUUAUUCAUGUUUAUCAGGGACUGUAUGAUGUAUAUGGAAUUUCAAUUCAAAGUUUGGAAUUAUAAGUUAAUCUAGGAUCUUUUGUCAAUAUUGUUGAGGUUAUUCUUGAAACCUAAAUUUGCAUGAAAAAUUUAAAUUUUAGAGACUUAGAUGGUUAUGACGGAAGAUCUUUGAGGUUUGACUCAUUUGUGUUGAAUUAAAGUCUUGUAAUUUGGUGGAGCAUUAAAAAAAAAAAAAUAUCUAGUUAUAAGAAUUUGACUUGGAAUUGUCCAGUUGAAUUGAUAAGAGAAUUAAGAUUCAAUACAUUUUGGGAAUUACAGUAACGAGCCCAUAUGAUGAUUUUGAAUGGAACAAUUGACUUGAGAGUUAAUCUGUAUUAGAUGUAUUCAAGAAUCAAAUAUUCUUUCUUUUAGGCUUUACUUGGAAAUUGAAGAUAUGGAUCUCUUUAGUUCAUAAUACAAGUAGUAUUUUGAUCAAAAGUUAUUAGUGAAUCCAAAAAUUUUAGUGUUUUGAAUCAGAGUGCGCAGCGGAAACGUGGUAGAAUGUUAGAUAAAUGACUAAGUAACUUCAUUUGUUUAAGAAUUAAGGAAUGUAAAUUUCGAGGACGAAAUUAUUUUAAGGAGGGAAGAAUGUGAAAACCAGCCCACAUACAGUGAGCUAAUGGGCCAAGCCCAACAUGGUCGGCCCAUUUGGAGAUCUAAACUAAGGAAGCUUCGGGAAGAAGGAGAAGCCAGGCGGUUAUAACCACCCUGAUACUCCCGAUCUCCCUUUCCUCUCUUCCCGAAGAGGGCUAUAAAAGCCAUGGAUUUCUCCUCACCAAGGGACUCCAUUGCUUAUCUUUCAUCUACCUUUCACUCCCUUCUCCGUUACGAAGGAAUCGGAUCGGGAACGACACCGUCGGAGUAGGAGGCCGAGCCAUCGGGGGAAGCUACCGGAAGAAGCUCCCCAUCUCCUCGUUGGCGCUAGGUAUUGAAGAAUUGGCAUUUGGUGAGCAAAUUAAGAUGAAUAGGAGAUGCUAGGAACAAGGAGCGUGACAUGCCUCAGGGUUAUGGGAAUAAUAAAAUAUUAAAUGAUGAUAUUGUUUCUAGAAGCUAUGUAUGGAUUUUAAUACCUGAACAUAGUUGUUUAGUAAUUGAAGUUUUAAAGAGGCUGUGUGUUAUUGUAUGCUUAACUUGGCAAUAGCACGGCCGUGUCAUGAUUCGAAUUCGGGGCGUGACAAUUUUAGUAUGAGAUUUGGCUCUCAAUUAUGUUGUACACGAAGUACAUGGAGUUGUGGGCAUAAACUUUUGGAACUACUGAGGAUCAUGGUGAGCUAACAUGGACGGUUACAAGAGCUUAGUAGUUACUCAACAAUUCUAGUUAUAUGAGUAAAUCAUAGAUUGUAAUCUAAACUAGAAAUUAUUUCAUCGAUCAAUGAAACCAAUUUAUCUUUAUCUUUA